UCUCCGUAGGUGAACCUGCGGAGGGAUCAUUACAGAGUUCAUGCCCUACCGGGUAGAUCUCCCACCCUAUGUUAUUAUUACUUUGUUGCUUUGGCGGGCCGUUAGGCUCCGGCCCGACUACCGGCCCCGGCUGGUAAGCGCCCGCCAGAGGACCCAAAACCCUGAAUAUUAGUGUCGUCUGAGUACUAUAUAAUAGUUAAAACUUUCAACAACGGAUCUCUUGGUUCUGGCAUCGAGGAAGAACGCAGC
rnacentral:misc_RNA from 1 species